rnacentral:rRNA from 1 species
UGGGGAAUUUUGGACAAUGGGCGAAAGCCUGAUCCAGCAAUGCCGCGUGUGUGAAGAAGGCCUUCGGGUUGUAAAGCACUUUUGUCCGGAAAGAAAUCCUUGGCUCUAAUACAGUCGGGGGAUGACGGUACCGGAAGAAUAAGCACCGGCUAACUACGUGCCAGCAGCCGCGGUAAUACGUAGGGUGCAAGCGUUAAUCGGAAUUACUGGGCGUAAAGCGUGCGCAGGCGGUUUGCUAAGACCGAUGUGAAAUCCCCGGGCUCAACCUGGGAACUGCAUUGGUGACUGGCAGGCUAGAGUAUGGCAGAGGGGGGUAGAAUUCCACGUGUAGCAGUGAAAUGCGUAGAGAUGUGGAGGAAUACCGAUGGCGAAGGCAGCCCCCUGGGCCAAUACUGACGCUCAUGCACGAAAGCGUGGGGAGCAAACAGGAUUAGAUACCCUGGUAGUCCACGCCCUAAACGAUGUCAACUGGUUGUUGGGGAUUCAUUUCCUUAGUAACGUAGCUAACGCGUGAAGUUGACCGCCUGGGGAGUACGGUCGCAAGAUUAAAACUUAAAGGAAUUGACGGGGUCAUAGCUGUUUCCU